AUGUACAGCAUUUGAACCCCAUUUCCAUACAUGCAGAAUGCCUCAUUGCGCUCAGUUUUCCUUGAAAUGAGGCAGUUUGGAACCAGUGGUCAAGAACUUCAUGUGACCAUGGAAAUGCAGACCGAGACAAGCAGAGAUUUAUGCUCAGCUGUGAGCCACCAACACUGCUGAAGAGCUGCACUCCUCAGCACAGGGCACUGCAGCAUCUUCACUUCCAAGGG
rnacentral:lncRNA from 1 species